UUUGACAGUUGUUUGACACAAUAAAUUAUCUUGGGCAUUUCGUGAUAAAUUGAAUAUCUUCCACGUUAUUGAAAGAAAAGAAAUAUAUUUCGAUUAUCGCAAUGUCCGGGCUCACUUAAUUUGUAAGCAGCGGUUAUGCGUUUACAAUUGACAAUAAUUUUUGGUGAUUAUGAUGACGUGCCGCUUAGUUUUCAGGAUGAAAUUGAAGUGGAAACUUUGCAGAAGAUUAUAGAUUCGUUUUGCAUACUGUAGAGUCAGUUUACAGUUAAGUUUAAAAAUAGUAAAAACUAAAGAUAUAAUUUUAAAAUACUUUAAUAAUCCCCCAAAGUUAAUUGUUUUGCAUUUACUUGCAUUGCAGGGAACCCUUUAGUCCGUGUUGUACCACGCACGGAUUGAUAAUCCGCAUGUAUCCGAUGUAACAUAAUACUACGAUACCAUUAUGUAAAUAAAGGAAUAUUGUGUAUAUUUAAAUGAA